GCGGACGUGGCGAAACUGGUAACCGCACGAGACUUAAAAUCUUGCGUCUUCAACGACUUACGGGUUCGAGUCCCGUCGUCCGCACCA
rnacentral:tRNA from 1 species